CCAUGUUAAUUAGUUUAAGUAAAACGUAAAUUUUGUAAGUUUAAAUUCUUAUUCUUAA
rnacentral:tRNA from 1 species